rnacentral:lncRNA from 1 species
AAAUUUCAUCUAAUUUCAUUUUAUUUUUUUAAGAAACAGCAACAGUAUACACACUUUUAUUAUAUAUUCCCUUUUAGUAGAAGCCCUAUAGAAUAAAUCGAAACAAAAAAAAGUUCGGAAAUAUUUCGCUGUUGUAGGUGGCAGCACCAUCAAAAUCGUCAAUUUUUCAGUUUUUUUUUUUGGUUGUAAAUUACACUUCAUUGCACAACCUGGCCCACUGGUGUCAGGUUGUUUCCUGUUGCAACUGUUAAAAAUGCUUUCCUAUAUAUAUAUAUAUAGCUAUCAAUAGAUGGUUUUCAAGUCCCUUUAAAGUAGCAAAUCUAAUGACACAGCCAACUUUUGAGCAAAAGAACAGCAUUUAAUCAGAACUUUCUGAGUGACGAGAGGAUAAUCUGGAUGAGUCUUCACCAUUUUCUGUUUUUAUUUCUGGUCCUUCAUGGAGAUUAACUGCACCAACUGUUUUAGGUGUUUUGAUUUUUCCAGUUACAUAACAGGUAAAUCAAAUCCUGAUAUUAACACACAUUAUUCUGUUUUAUUUUCCUGCCGUUUACCAAAACCCAUUUGGUCUAUGGAUUUAUUAGGAAUAAAUUUUACUUUGCCGAUGUUGUAGGCUUUCCUCAGUAGUAUACAAUCUUCUUCAAUUCACAACUCAUUAAAAUCAUUUAUUCCUUUUUACUUGUGUGUUAUCAGUUUGUGUUAUGAGGUGUCGUUAGCACAUUCAGAGACUUGACAUCCAGCAACACCUGU